rnacentral:misc_RNA from 1 species
AGUCGUCCAGAGCUCACGGUGGUGGUGUGUGUGCCGCCUGCUCCGGAGGGGCUCUGUGAAAUGUGCUCGGGGCCGGGUCGGGUCUGUUGGUAGAGAGGUCAGAUCGUGGUACCCGUGGACACGGGAGGUCUCGCUGGGUGCGGCUGAAGCAUGCGAAGCGGUGGACGGUAGACUCGGAGAAACUGUCACACGGAGACUGGCGAGAUGUGGAUGUGCGUGCUGCAGAUCGGAGCGGCCCUCGCAGCCGUCUUACCAGGGAUCGCCGCACUGGAGCUGAACCAGGUCAUCAUUCCGAAGCACGUGAUGCGCGGUGCCGACGCCGACCUGGCCUGUCUCUACGACCUGCAGGGCAAGGAGCUCUACUCCAUCAAAUGGUACAAAGACGGGAAGGAGUUCUACAGGUUUGAGCCGUCCACGAGCCAGAAGAAGAAAAACUUUCCUCAGCCGGGAAUCAAGGUCGAUUUGUCUGCGUCGAAUGCGACGCACGUACGUCUUCAGGAGACGACCCUUCAGUACACGGGCCGGUACAUGUGCGAAAUAUCGACAGAGGCGCCCACCUUCUCCUCCAAGCAGGGCAAGGGCGAGGUGCACGUCGUAGUGUUUCCCGAGGAGGGCCCGGUUAUAACCGGUGGCAAGUCGCGCUACGAGGUCGGUGACCGGGUCAAGGUCAACUGCACCUCCUACAAGAGCAAACCAGCCGCCGAGCUCACCUGGUUCAUCAACAACGAGGAGGCGGCGCUGGAGCAUGUGGAACUCUGGCCACCCACCAUCCACGACGACGGUCUGGAGACGAUGACGGCCGGCCUGCACUUCCGAGUGCGGCCGCACCACUUCCGCUCUGGCAACAUCAAGCUCAAGUGCGUCUCGCAGAUUCCGGACAUGGUGCAGCCGGUGUACUGGCAGAGUCGCGAGGAGAGCGCCGUCGGCGACCGGCCGCCCGAGGUCUCCCAGGUGCUCGACAGCACGGCCGACAACCGGAAAAAUAACGGCUGUCCGCUCUGUCACGAGAUCGCCAACUGGCUCAUUCUGGCGGUGAGCGUCAUUCUCGCCAGAUGAGGGGUCAGCAAGGUCAGAUGAGCGGGCCCGCAGGUCAGAUGAGCCGGUUCGCAGGUCAGAUGAGCCGGUCCGCAGGUCAGAGGAAUAAACCCGCCGUGAACGUGUCAACAGGUCAGGUGACGACCUCAUUCCGCGUGGCAUGAGGCUGGACUCAAACAGCGUGAUCAGGGCCGCCCGCGCCCCAUAGUGCGGUGAGCAUCGCUCUCCAGUUAAUGUACCGGUGUAUGUGUUCACUCCCAUAUCCUGGGCAGCGUUUGGCAAGAUAUCGAGGUGAACCAAUGACUGGUGUGGCUGACAUCCUCAGCGCAUUUGGGGAGCGAUUUCAUCGGGAAUGAAAGGUGAUAUUAGAAGCAGAGUUUAGUUGAAAGCGCGAGAAAAGUGUCUCCUCCGCACUUCACCAGCGUUUUCCUGGAUUAUGAUGAAUGCUGAAUCGGCUGCAGCUGAGAGUGUGAAGAUGACUUCUUCCGAAUUUCUUUGACGUGGCUGUCAUACGCACGCGUCGGACGUCGGCGAGGGUGCCGGCUGACAGUUGACAGUUGACAGGUGCCGCCCGUCAUCGCGCGCUGGCAGAGAGGUGUCAUCGAAAAAUACUCUGCUGGGACGCGCGUCUCCGAGAGCACCAGCGGAGGCAAGCAAUGCAAUCACUCGUAGGCCUCGUAAACUGCGUUUCCGGCAUUGGAGGCCUGGCUCGUUAAUGUUGGUGUUCCGGAGUGGACGAAGCGGCCGCCCGGACGUGCAGAGAACUGUGUGCGGGCCGGUAGACAGUGGCGGGCGCUCGUGAGUGUUUGCCGCCGGGCAGUCUCAGUGUGGCGGUGUGCGGUGAGGUCGGCCCCGGCGUCAGGUCGACCUCCCGCAGUCAAUGUGAUAACACUAGUCUUUGGCCAAAGAGCGGGGACGGCCCCUCUGCGCUGGCGAAGACUGGACGUAGCUCUUUGAUAUCACCAGAUA